UACAGGGGGGGCAAGCGUUGUUCGGAAUUACUGGGCGUAAAGGGCCAGUAGGCGGCCGACUAAGUCCGACGUGAAAUCCCCAGGCUUAACCUGGGAACUGCGUCGGAUACUGGUUGGCUUGAAUUCGGGAGAGGGAUGCAGAAUUCCCGGUGUAGUGGUGAAAUGCGUAGAUAUCGGGAGGAACACCUGUGGCGAAAGCGGCUCACUGGACCACAACUGACGCUGAGGCGCGAAAGCCAGGGGAGCAAACGGG
rnacentral:rRNA from 1 species